rnacentral:misc_RNA from 1 species
AACGCACCUUGCGCUCCUUGGUAUUCCGAGGAGCAUGCCUGUUUGAGUGUCAGUAAAUUAUCAACCUUUCCAGUUUGUUUUGAACUGGCUUAACAAAGGUAUUGGAUAUGGGAGUUAAUUGCAGGCUUAUAUAUCAGUCAGCUCUCCUCAAAUGCAUUAGCAGAACCAAAUUAAAAUAGCAUUUUAAGGUGUGAUAACUAUCUACACCGCAUAAGAUGCAAAAGUUUAACUUUAAAAUUUUUUAAAUGGUGUUCAGCUUCUAAAAGUUGCUUUGAAAGCACUUAUCAUUGAAAAUUUGACCUCAAAUCAGGUAGGAUUACCCGCUGAACUUAA